rnacentral:rRNA from 1 species
AUACGGAGGAUCCGAGCGUUAUCCGGAUUUAUUGGGUUUAAGGGUGCGCAGGCGGCCAUUUAAGUCAGCGGUUAAAUCGUGGGGCUCAACCCCAUUCUGCCGUUGAUACUGGGUGGCUUGAUUGCGGUCGAGGUUGGCGGAAUUCGUUGUGUAGCGGUGAAAUGCAUAGAUAUGACGAAGAACACCGAUUGCGUAGGCAGCUGACCAGACCGCAAAUGACGCUCAUGCACGAAAGUGCGGGGAUCGAACAGGAUUAGAUACCCUGGUAGUCCGCACAGUAAACGAUGAAUACUUGUUUUCGGCGAUAUAAUGUCGGAGGCAAAGCGAAAGCGAUAAGUAUUCCACCUGGGGAGUACGCCGACAACGGUGAAACUCAAAGGAAUUGACGGGG